CUUUGUAAAUUACCCAGUCUCAAGUAUUUUGUUACAGAAACUAAAGAACAAACUAAGACAGGAGGUAAUGAUGUCAGUCAAAGACACCUAGUUCACAGCAUAGAGACAAGUAUACAUCUACUAAAGUGUGUGGGCAAAACCCCGUGGGACUACUAUAUAACAAUAGGAUAUAGCAUUUUCACUUUUGUGUCCACCUGUACAGGUUUACUUGCAAGAUAAGUUUGAGGAAAUCAACAGCGAAGUUUGCUGGAGGAAGAAGGAUGCUGAUUAGCACGAGCCCCUGGAUUAAACAGUUUGUUUAGAUGGAGCUUGAAUCUCAAAAAGUGGCCAAAGAAAACUGACAGAAGAGCUAAGAGAAAUCACUCCUGAUCCAUUUACAUUGUGAAGCAUUUAGAAAGGAAACACCACUCUACUGUUUGGGGGAUUUAUUGCAUUUUUCCCUGAAUUUGCUUUUUAAAUCCUGCAUCUGUCUCUGUAAUAUUAAGUUUCUCCAAAGCAUUCGGUUUGUGCUGGGGUCAGAGAGUGGAGAAACUGUGAUGUUUCGCUGCAUCUCAGAAUAGCCUGUUCAGCAGAGGACACUCACAAUGAAUAAUGGAGAGACACAGCCACAGAGAGGAAGAUCUCACCUCAAAGGAAAAUAAAGCCGAUUCACAAUCAUCCCAAUAUUUCAGUUGUUUUCUGGGCCAGUUAAGUGAGAAUGUGAAGGGGCUGUGACUUCCAACUCCUCGUGAUGACAUCUGCAUGUGUCUCAUGACAGCACGGUGUUGCUGCUGGGACUUGUUUGCCUGUUUGCCUGAGAAGACAAGAGUUGCUGACCUCAGGAAUUAAUGCUCACGCUGAUGCUCGAGCAGAGGCAGUGCUAUGGUUUGGACGUGUGCCUGAUUUUCAUGUGUUGGAAACUUAAUCCCCAGUGUAACAAUGCUGAAAGGUGGAACUUUUAAGAGGUGAUUAGGUCUAGAGGACUCUGUCCUGAUGGAUGGGUUAAUGUCAUUAGCAUUAGAGUGAGUUCUGUAUGAACGUGAGUUGGGCUCCCUCUUGUCCUCCCUUGCCCUUUUGCCUUCUGUCAUGGGACAAGGCGAUAUGAAAACCUAAACCAUUCUCUUAGACGUCCCAACCUCCAAAACUGUAAGAAGUAAAUUUCUGUUCUUUAUGAAUUACUCUGUCUCAGAUAGUCUGUUAUAGUGACACAAAUGGACUAAAACUGACAGUAAAAUUGUCUCAGAAAGACUGAAAAGGAAAGAGACUGAAAGGAAAGACUGAGAAGUUCUCAGAGACUGACUGGGAAAGAGGAGCCAGAAUCCUGGAAGCUCAUGCUGUCAGGGAACUUUGCAUAUUUUUAGUCUGAUAUUUGGAUGUGCAUUCUAUGGGUAAAGAGCCUUUUAGGAAACCGCAAAUGAAGCAGGAUGCAGCUAAAUGCUCUGAAAGAAAGAAGCAGGAAUUCAAGUC